UACAGAGGGGGCAAGCGUUGUUCGGAAUUACUGGGCGUAAAGGGCGCGUAGGCGGCCUGUUAAGUCGAACGUGAAAUCCCCGGGCUCAACCCGGGAACUGCGUCCGAUACUGGCAGGCUUGAAUCCGGGAGAGGGAUGCGGAAUUCCAGGUGUAGCGGUGAAAUGCGUAGAGAUCAUGAGGAAGACCAGUGGCGAAGGCGGGUCUCUGGACAGUUCCUGACACUGAGACACGAAGGCCAGGGGAACAAACGGG
rnacentral:rRNA from 1 species